rnacentral:rRNA from 1 species
GCAAGUCGCACGAGAAGCUCUUUUUGCUUGCAUUAGGAGCGGACAGUGGCGAAAGGGAGAGUAACGCGUGGAUACUUACCCCGGGGUCCGGGAUAGCUGAGGGAAACUUCAGGUAAUACCGGAUAACGUUUCCGAACCAAAGGUGUGAUUCCGCCUUGGGAUAGGUCCGCGUCCUACUAGCUUGUUGGUGAGGUAAUGGCUCACCAAGGCCAAGAUGGGUAGCGGGUGUGAGAGCAUGGCCCGUCUCACUGGGACUGAGACACUGCCCAGACACCUACGGGUGGCUGCAGUCGAGAAUCUUCCGCAAUGGGCGAAAGCCUGACGGAGCGACGCCGCGUGCGGGAUGAAGGCCCUCGGGUUGUAAACCGCUGUCAGUUGGGAGGAAAUGCGUAGGGGCACUCUCCUAUGUUUGACCGAUCUUCAGAGGAAGUCCGGGCUAAGUUCGUGCCAGCAGCCGCGGUAAGACGAACCGGACGAACGUUAUUCGGAAUCACUGGGCUUAAAGGGUACGUAGGCGGCUUCGUAGGUUGGGUGUGAAAUCCCACGGCUCAACCGUGGAACUGCGCUCAAAACCACGAGGCUUGAGGGAAGCAGAGGUAAGCGGAGCUGAUGGUGGAGCGGUGAAAUGCGUUGAUAUCAUCAGGAACACCAGUGGCGAAGGCGGCUUACUGGGCUUCUUCUGACGCUGAGGUACGAAAGCUAGGGUAGCGAACGGGAUUAGAUACCCCGGUAGUCCUAGCUGUAAACGAUGAGCACUUGGUCGAGGGGACCUCCACAUCUUCUCGGCCGUAGCGAAAGCGUUAAGUGCUCCGCCUGGGGAGUAUGGUCGCAAGGCAA